rnacentral:rRNA from 1 species
UACGUAGGGUGCAAGCGUUGUCCGGAAUUAUUGGGCGUAAAGAGCUUGUAGGCGGUUUGUCGCGUCUGCUGUGAAAUUUCGGGGCUCAACCCCGAACUUGCAGUGGGUACGGGCAGACUAGAGUGUGGUAGGGGAGACUGGAAUUCCUGGUGUAGCGGUGAAAUGCGCAGAUAUCAGGAGGAACACCGAUGGCGAAGGCGGGAUCCUGGGCCAGUACUGACGCUGAUGAGCGAAAGCGUGGGGAGCAAACAGG